rnacentral:rRNA from 1 species
UACGUAGGGUGCGAGCGUUAAUCGGAAUUACUGGGCGUAAAGCGUGCGCAGGCGGUUUUGUAAGACAGGUGUGAAAUCCCCGGGCUUAACCUGGGAACUGCAUUUGUGACUGCAAGGCUGGAGUGCGGCAGAGGGGGAUGGAAUUCCGCGUGUAGCAGUGAAAUGCGUAGAUAUGCGGAGGAACACCGAUGGCGAAGGCAAUCCCCUGGGCCUGCACUGACGCUCAUGCACGAAAGCGUGGGGAGCAAACAGGAUUAGAAACCCUAGUAGUCC